rnacentral:rRNA from 1 species
UUAAGCGACUAAGCGUACACGGUGGAUGCCCUGGCAGUCAGAGGCGAUGAAGGACGUGCUAAUCUGCGAAAAGCGCCGGCGAGGUGAUAUGAACCUUUGACCCGGCGAUGUCCGAAUGGGGAAACCCAGUGCAAUCCGUUGCACUAUCGUUAACUGAAUACAUAGGUUAACGAGGCGAACCGGGGGAACUGAAACAUCUAAGUACCCCGAGGAAAAGAAAUCAACCGAGAUUCCCCCAGUAGCGGCGAGCGAACGGGGAGCAGCCCGGAGUCUGAAUCAGCUUGUGUGUUAGUGGAACGGUCUGGAAAGUCCGACGGUACAGGGUGAUAGUCCCGUACACGAAAGCACACAUGCUGUGAACUCGAAGAGUAGGGCGGGACACGUGGUAUCCUGUCUGAAUAUGGGGGGACCAUCCUCCAAGGCUAAAUACUCCUGACUGACCGAUAGUGAACCAGUACCGUGAGGGAAAGGCGAAAAGAACCCCGGCGAGGGGAGUGAAAAAGAACCUGAAACCGUGUACGUACAAGCAGUGGGAGCCUCUUUAUGGGGUGACUGCGUACCUUUUGUAUAAUGGGUCAGCGACUUAUAUUCUGUAGCAAGGUUAACCGUAUAGGGGAGCCGAAGGGAAACCGAGUCUUAACUGGGCGUUAAGUUGCAGGGUAUAGACCCGAAACCCGGUGAUCUAGCCAUGGGCAGGUUGAAGGUUGGGUAACACUAACUGGAGGACCGAACCGACUAAUGUUGAAAAAUUAGCGGAUGACCUGUGGCUGGGGGUGAAAGGCCAAUCAAACCGGGAGAUAGCUGGUUCUCCCCGAAAGCUAUUUAGGUAGCGCCUCGUGAACUCAUCUUCGGGGGUAGAGCACUGUUUCGGCUAGGGGGCCAUCCCGGCUUACCAACCCGAUGCAAACUACGAAUACCGAAGAAUGUUAUCACGGGAGACACACGGCGGGUGCUAACGUCCGUCGUGAAGAGGGAAACAACCCAGACCGCCAGCUAAGGUCCCAAAGUCAUGGUUAAGUGGGAAACGAUGUGGGAAGGCACAGACAGCCAGGAUGUUGGCUUAGAAGCAGCCAUCAUUUAAAGAAAGCGUAAUAGCUCACUGGUCGAGUCGGCCUGCGCGGAAGAUGUAACGGGGCUAAACCAUGCACCGAAGCUGCGGCAGCGACACUAUGUGUUGUUGGGUAGGGGAGCGUUCUGUAAGCCGUUGAAGGUGUGCUGUGAGGCAUGCUGGAGGUAUCAGAAGUGCGAAUGCUGACAUAAGUAACGAUAAAGCGGGUGAAAAGCCCGCUCGCCGGAAGACCAAGGGUUCCUGUCCAACGUUAAUCGGGGCAGGGUGAGUCGACCCCUAAGGCGAGGCCGAAAGGCGUAGUCGAUGGGAAACAGGUUAAUAUUCCUGUACUUGGUGUUACUGCGAAGGGGGGACGGAGAAGGCUAUGUCAGCCGGGCGACGGUUGUCCCGGUUUAAGCAUGUAGGCGGAGGUUCCAGGUAAAUCCGGUACCUUUUAACGCUGAGGUGUGAUGACGAGGCACUACGGUGCUGAAGUGAUAAAUGCCCUGCUUCCAGGAAAAGCCUCUAAGCAUCAGGUAACAUCAAAUCGUACCCCAAACCGACACAGGUGGUCAGGUAGAGAAUACCAAGGCGCUUGAGAGAACUCGGGUGAAGGAACUAGGCAAAAUGGUGCCGUAACUUCGGGAGAAGGCACGCUGAUGUGUAGGUGAAGCCCCUGCGGGCGGAGCUGAAAUCAGUCGAAGAUACCAGCUGGCUGCAACUGUUUAUUAAAAACACAGCACUGUGCAAACACGAAAGUGGACGUAUACGGUGUGACGCCUGCCCGGUGCCGGAAGGUUAAUUGAUGGGGUUAGCGGCAACGCGAAGCUCUUGAUCGAAGCCCCGGUAAACGGCGGCCGUAACUAUAACGGUCCUAAGGUAGCGAAAUUCCUUGUCGGGUAAGUUCCGACCUGCACGAAUGGCGUAAUGAUGGCCAGGCUGUCUCCACCCGAGACUCAGUGAAAUUGAACUCGCUGUGAAGAUGCAGUGUACCCGCGGCAAGACGGAAAGACCCCGUGAACCUUUACUAUAGCUUGACACUGAACACUGGUCCUUGAUGUGUAGGAUAGGUGGGAGGCUUUGAAGCGUGGACGCCAGUCUGCGUGGAGCCGACCUUGAAAUACCACCCUUUAAUGGCUGGUGUUCUAACGUAGACCCGUAAUCCGGGUUGCGGACAGUGUCUGGUGGGUAGUUUGACUGGGGCGGUCUCCUCCCAAAGAGUAACGGAGGAGCACGAAGGUUGGCUAAUCCUGGUCGGACAUCAGGAGGUUAGUGCAAUGGCAUAAGCCAGCUUGACUGCGAGCGUGACGGCGCGAGCAGGUGCGAAAGCAGGUCAUAGUGAUCCGGUGGUUCUGAAUGGAAGGGCCAUCGCUCAACGGAUAAAAGGUACUCCGGGGAUAACAGGCUGAUACCGCCCAAGAGUUCAUAUCGACGGCGGUGUUUGGCACCUCGAUGUCGGCUCAUCACAUCCUGGGGCUGAAGUAGGUCCCAAGGGUAUGGCUGUUCGCCAUUUAAAGUGGUACGCGAGCUGGGUUUAGAACGUCGUGAGACAGUUCGGUCCCUAUCUGCCGUGGGCGCUGGAGAAUUGAGGGGGGCUGCUCCUAGUACGAGAGGACCGGAGUGGACGCAUCACUGGUGUUCGGGUUGUCAUGCCAAUGGCACUGCCCGGUAGCUAAAUGCGGAAGAGAUAAGUGCUGAAAGCAUCUAAGCACGAAACUUGCCCCGAGAUGAGUUCUCCCUGAGACUUUAAGUCUCCUGAAGGAACGUUGAAGACGACGACGUUGAUAGGUCGGGUGUGUAAGCGCAGCGAUGCGUUGAGCUAACCGAUACUAAUGAACCGUGAGGCUUAACCUU